rnacentral:rRNA from 1 species
GAUCUUGAUUUCGGGACCAGCGGAAUCAGGGACUACCGUUAUCGCCUGUUACCGGUAUUCUCAAACCUGCUUGAGCCCGACCCCGGUAUGCAAGCGUAUAUCAACCAGGUCCGCGAACCAUGGCUCGACCAACUGCAGGAACCGCUUGCGGUGGCGGAUGAUCUGCUCUUCCGGCGGGGAAAUUUCAAUGGCACUUUCGACCAGAUUAUUUGUGACGCGCAACGCGCGGU